rnacentral:rRNA from 1 species
UACAGAGGGUGCAAGCGUUAAUCGGAAUUACUGGGCGUAAAGGGUGCGUAGGUGGUUGAAUAAGUCAGGUGUGAAAGUCCUGGGCUUAACCUGGGGAUUGCGCCUAAUACUGUUUAGCUAGAGUACUGUAGAGGAAGGUGGAAUUUCCGGUGUAGCGGUGAAAUGCGUAGAUAUCGGAAGGAACAUCAGUGGCGAAGGCGACUUUCUGGACAGAUACUGACACUGAGGCACGAAAGCAUGGGGAGCAAACAGG